CAUUACUGAGGUAUGCUCGGUGCCGCGUAAGCGCGCCGGUUGCCCGCCCAUAUGUCAUCUUUGCUGGACCCGCCCUGCCUUUGGGCAAGGGAGGGGACAGGAACGUCACUUCGGUCGAGGUGUUGUGCCUCUUCGUUUCAUUAUGAGGCUGGCAUGACCGCGGCCGGUUAUAUUUUACACUCUUGUGAGAGCAUGAAGUCUGAAGCAAACGAAAAUUUAAGCAAAACUUUCAACAACGGAUCUCUUGGCUCUGGCAACGAUGAAGAACGCAGCGAAACGCGAAAGGUAAUGCGAAUCGCAGAAUCAGUGAGUCAUCGAAUCUUUGAACGCACAUUGCGCCUCUCGGUAUUCCGGGAGGCACGCCUGUUCGAGCGCCAUUACACACUCCAAGCGUAGCUUGAUGUUGGACGAUGCGGGUCUCCUAGAGGACCGCACGUCUGGAACGCGUGGGCGCCCAUCGCCGGAUCACAAGCGUAGCAAGACGUUUCGUCAAUUUCGUUCUGUGAGCUCCGACGGGGGGCGGCCUCAUACUUUUUCUGUAUCAGAAGUUUGGCCUCGGAUCAGGCGGGGAUACCCGCUGAACUUAA
rnacentral:rRNA from 1 species